GACGAACCGUCCAACCGUUAUUCGGAAUCACUGGGCUUAAAGGGCGCGUAGGCGGCCGAGCGGGUCGUGGGUGAAAUCCUCCAGCUUAACUGGAGAACUGCUGACGAUACCACUGCGGCUCGAGGAAGGAAGGGGCAAUCGGAACUGUCGGUGGAGCGGUGAAAUGCGUUGAUAUCGACAGGAACGCCGGUGGCGAAAGCGGAUUGCUGGUCCUUUUCUGACGCUGAUGUGCGAAAGCCAGGGGAGCAAACGGG
rnacentral:rRNA from 1 species